UCCCAAACCCAUGUGAACAUACCUACUGUUGCUUCGGCGGGAUUGCCCCGGGCGCCUCGUGUGCCCCGGAUCAGGCGCCCGCCUAGGAAACUUAACUCUUGUUUUAUUUUGGAAUCUUCUGAGUAGUUUUUACAAAUAAAUAAAAACUUUCAACAACGGAUCUCUUGGUUCUGGCAUCGAUGAAGAACGCAGCGAAAUGCGAUAAGUAAUGUGAAUUGCAGAAUUCAGUGAAUCAUCGAAUCUUUGAACGCACAUUGCGCCCGCCAGUAUUCUGGCGGGCAUGCCUGUCUGAGCGUCAUUUCAACCCUCAUGCCCCUAGGGCGUGGUGUUGGGGAUCGGCCAAAGCCCGCGAGGGACGGCCGGCCCCUAAAUCUAGUGGCGGACCCGUCGUGGCCUCCCCUGCGAAGUAGUGAUAUUCCGCAUCGGAGAGCGACGAGCCCCUGCCGUUAAACCCCCAACUUUCCAAGGUUGACCUCAGAUCAGGUAGGAAUACCCGCUGAACUUAAGCAUAUCAAAAGCCGGAGGAA
rnacentral:rRNA from 1 species